rnacentral:rRNA from 1 species
CCGUUCGANUAGGGCNNUACCUUGACGGUACCUANCCAGAAANCCACGGCUAACUACGUNCCAGCAGCCGCGGUAAUACGUAGGUGGCAAGCGUUGUCCGGAAUUAUUGGGCGUAAAGCGCGCGCNGGCGGUUUCUUAAGUNUGAUGUGAAAGCCCCCGGCUCAACCGGGGAGGGUCAUUGGAAACUGGGGAACUUGAGUGCAGAAGAGGAGAGUGGAAUUCCACGUGUAGCGGUGAAAUGCGUAGAGAUGUGGAGGAACACCAGUGGCGAAGGCGACUCUCUGGUCUGUAACUGACGCUGAGGCGCGAAAGCGUGGGGAGCGAACAGGAUUAGAUACCCUGGUAGUCCACGCCGUAAACGAUGAGUGCUAAGUGUUAGAGGGUUUCCGCCCUUUAGUGUCUGCAGCAAACGGGUCAUUAAGCACUCCGCCUGGGGAGUAACCGGUCUGCAAGACUGGGAAAACUCAAAGGAAUUGACGGGGGCUAAUACCGCACAAGCUUGGUGGAACCGCAUGUGGUUUAAUUCGAAGCAACGCGAAGAACCUUACCAGGUCUUGACAUCCUCUGACAACCCUAGAGAUAGGGCUUCCCCUUCGGGGGCAGAGUGACAGGUGGUGCAUGGUUGUCGUCAGCUCGUGUCGUGAGAUGUUGGGUUAAGUCCCGCAACGAGCGCAACCCUUGAUCUUAGUUGCCAGCAUUCAGUUGGGCACUCUAAGGUGACUGCCGGUGACAAACCGGAGGAAGGUGGGGAUGACGUCAAAUCAUCAUGCCCCUUAUGACCUGGGCUACACACGUGCUACAAUGGGCAGAACAAAGGGCAGCGAAGCCGCGAGGCUAAGCCAAUCCCACAAAUCUGUUCUCAGUUCGGAUCGCAGUCUGCAACUCGACUGCGUGAAGCUGGAAUCGCUAGUAAUCGCGGAUCAGCAUGCCGCGGUGAAUACGUUCCCGGGCCUUGUACACACCGCCCGUCACACCACGAGAGUUUGUAACACCCGAAGUCGGUGAGGUANCCUUUGGAGCCAGCCGCCGAA